UGGAUGUAAAAAAAAAAAAAAAAAAAAAAAAUGAAUACUCAAUGAAUUGCCAGACUUUCAGGAUUUUGUUGUAAGACCUGAACUUGAUAGAAAUUUUGACCCAUAAAAUCCAAGAGAAAUAAAGGUUAAUUACAAGUCACUCAAUGAGGACAAAUAUUUUAUGUUUUAUAUGUGAAAAUGUAAACCCUAUGCUUAAGAUUGUCAUUAACUAGUAAUUGGGUAGUUUGAAAGAUUGGAUAGAGCUGAAUAUAAUGUGAUUCUAAAAAGCAAAAUUGUGUAGGAAAUAUAGAGGAAUUAGGUGGGGAAGGAGGGCUGCUAAUUCUGAAAUCCUACUUUUAUCAAGAAUGGGUUAAAGAGGGAAUUAAAUCAAAAUCCAGAAAGAAAUAAGAGGAUAAGGGGAUAGGGAGGGAAGAGCAUGUAGAUGAAUGAGAAUGGGAUAAAAGAAAAAGGAAGAAAAAGAAAAGAAAAGAAAAAGGAAGAGGGAAUGAAAAGGGUAUGAGAAAGGAUAAGGAAGUGAUCAUAGGAAGGAGGAGUAGGUUAAUUAAUAGUAAAGCAAGGUAGUAAUUGGAGGAGUCAGGAAAUGAGAGAUACACAUAAACAUAAUAAUAAUGAUCAGAAGUAGAAUUUAUUAGAAAAAAGCAGGAGUAAUUGUUGAUCUCAGACAAAGUUAAAGCUAAAAUAGAUUCAAUCAAAAGAGAAAACUAGGGAAACUACACUAUAUGUCAAUCAUAUUAAUAUUGGUUUAGACUAUUUAAAAUAACUAUAGCAUAAGGUUGUGAUGCGAGUCAUGAUGAGGUACAAGUCACAAAGGUGGGGAGUCAUCUGGAAAGAAUUCAGACUCAAACCUUUUCAAAGUCAAGGGGCAAUGCUUUAUUGGAAUACUUAGCAAGCAGAAGUUCUUAAUGAACUUUCAAUUAAAGAGGGGGAAGGUGGGACUUUUUAUGGAGAGGAUCCCAAACUAGGCCCAUUAACUAACUAUGCUGGGUGCAUACAUAGGAUAAUCAGCUGGUGGGCGAGCCUGUCCUGUUUGACAAGAUGGACUCAGGACAGAUAGAGCUUAACACCCCCGCCCAUUGUAGAAGGUAACAGGGAGCCUCAGAGCUGCAUAAUAGCCCUGUCUGUACAAGAGAGCUCCAGGGUUAUCCACAGGGCUCCUCGCCCCCGCCCACUCAGACGCUGGCUUAUUACCAGGAGCAUGGGCUAUUGCUGCAGUCCAUUCACCCCAUCAGUUGGAAUAUUGCUGGUUUGGCAAAUGAUGAAUUGAUGGAUUUACAAACUGUAGAAAGACAGAGUUAUCAAGGAUGAUGUUAUCCACCUUGAGAGAAAGAGGACAAACAAGUAUAAUAUAAGUAUAUUAUACAUUAUAAGGCUAUAAUAGCCUUACAUAGAUAUUUAUGAAUAUGCAGCCACGCUCGCAGAAACUCUCUCCUUCCACUAUUUUCCCCGCUUCUGAGUCGGAGUCUUCCCGCCUCGCUUCUCACAGGCUUCCGCGGCAACUUUGAUCCGUCCUUCCCUCCGCCCGCCGCCUGACACCUCGCUCCGGAGGGUCACCUGAUUCCAGACGUCCAAUCAGCUUCGAGCCAGGUGCAGCUGAGAAGAGCGGCGGCCUCCCGGGAGCCAGGAUGGGCUGCGCCCCCGACGCCAGCUCUUCUCGCUUCUCGGCCUUUGGCUGCGCGGAUUCCGACCCAUCUCGCCACUGAAACUGAUCUCUUCGAAGAUGCCGAUGGAGCCUUAAUUACCAGGUCCGGUGCCGGCUUUUCCUAGCUCCACGCUUUCUCGACCUCUGUGAGGGGCACUUGACAUUGCCCAAUGGCCUCUCCUCGUCGCUCUCCUCCUUGGGUUUCUGUGACGUGGUCCCUGUCUGUCGGACCUCUCUCUCAGUCUGCUUUGCUGGAUCAUCACGUGUAACUGGGGCCCCCACUAGAAAUGAACUCCAGGGCCUCUCUAAAUCACUGGGUGAGCUCAUCGGCUGGCCCGCCUUCCUUUGCCAUCUCUAGGAGGAAAUCUCCCAAGUCUAUGCAGGCCUAGGCUCCCCCUCACUCCUGUCCCGGAUGCACGUUUGAACUGGAUGUAUAAAAUGGGGGCGGUUUCUCCAGCUCUUCCCUCGAAGCCACCCCUUCUUGCAAGCUUUCCUUUUCUGUUCUCCUCACCCCCAAGUGCACAAUCCAGGAGUCGUGCUUGACUCUGCUCGUACAUGGCAGUUGGUUGCCGAGUCUCGCUGCCGAUGUCUCUUGCAUGUUCCCUUUCCCCCACUCACAAGGCCACCUCCCUGGUCCAGUCCCUCCUCACCUCACUUCUCCAUUUUUCUCCCAAUCCAUCUUCCACAUACCCAGCCAACUUGUUUUCCUAAAGCGCAGCUCCGACCUAGUCCCUGGCUUGCUGCAUGAACUCUUCGAACUGCUCCAGACUGAAACGGGACCAGCUCAGCUCGGCCCGGAGAGGUCUUUAUGAUGGCCAUUAUAUAAUGCUCUCUUCGUGCCCUUCUCAGCCUCGCAAAAGUGGUUCUUACUGAUCCUCACCCACAAAACCUUCUCUCUUUGCUGGCUGUUGUGUUCCCCACACCAGGAAUGUACAGCUCCUCUUCUGCUUCUAAGAACCCCAAAAUUUUCUUCCAAACUAAGCUCAAGCCCUACCCUAGCUGCUAAUGACUUUUCCCUACCACAUUAUCUUUGUAUACACUUCUAUGUGUGCGUGUUGUCGUCCCCCCUAGUAGCACAGAAACUCCCUAAGGACUAGGACAGCCCUUGUCCUUAGGGAUAUUUAAUGCACAUCCCCAGAAGCUGAGUUCCUGGUACAAAAAUAGACCCUGAUUUAAUACCUUUUCUUGAUUCUCCUGUAUCACGUUUCCCACUCCGUUUUGGGAGGAGCUGGGCUUCUGGGUAUUUGGGCAGAUGGGUCUUCAUAAACUAAAAUCACCCCCACCAUGUUUAAGGCCCUUCUAGCACGAAAGAAGCUGCUAGAGCGGGCACUCUGUUGGCACAAGUUUUAUGUCACUUAUUUAAAUCUUUACAGGUUUUUCAUCCUAAUCAUUAUUUCUUAUAGCACAAGCUCAUUUUCUUCACACUUUAGAUCAACAUGUAGGAUUGUUUUGACAAACCCAAAGAACCUAGUAUUUGGGAAAGAACUAUUUGACAAAAAUUGCUGGGAAAAUUGGAAAUUAGUAUGGCAGAAACUAGGCAUUGACCCACACUUAACACCAUACACCAAGAUAAGGUCAAAAUGGGUUCAUAACCUAGGCAUAAAGAGAGAAAUUAUAAAUAAAUUGGAAGAGCAUAGGAUAGUUUACCUCUCAGAUCUGUGGAAGAGGAAGGAAUUUAUGACCAAAGAAGAACUAGAAAUCAUGAUUAAUUACAAAAUAGAAAAUUUUGAUUGUAUCAAAUUGAAAAAUUUUUGUACAAACAAAACUAAUGCAGACAAGAUUAGAAGGGAAGCAAUAAACUGGGAAAACAUUUUUACAGUCAAAGGUUCUGAUAAAGGCCUCAUUUCCAAAAUAUAUAAUUGACUCUAAUAUAUAAGAAAUCAAGCCAUUCUCCAAUUGAUAAAUGGUCAAAGGAUAUGAACAGACAAUUCUCAGAUGAAGAAAUUGAAACUAUUUCUAGCCAUAUGAAAAGAUGCUCCAAGUCAUUAUUCAUCAGAGAAAUGCCAAUUAAGACAACUCUGAGAUACCACUACACACCUGUCAGACUGGCUAGAAUGACAGGGAAAGAUAAUGUGGAAUGUUGGAGGGGAUGUGGGAAAACAGGGACACUGAUACAUUGUUGGUGGAAUUGUGAACACAUCCAGCCAUUCUGGAGAGCAAUUUGGAACUAUGCUCAAAAAGUUACCAAACUGUGCAUACCCUUUGAUCCAGCAGUGUUUCUACUGGGCUUAUAUCCUAAAGAGAUACUAAAAAAGGGAAAGGGUCCUGUAUGUGCAUGAAUGUUUGUGGCAGCCCUCUUUGUAGUGGCCAGAAACUGGAAACUGAGUGGAUGCCCAUCAAUUGGAGAAUGGCUGAAUAAAUUGUGGUAUAUGUAUGUUAUGGAAUAUUAUUGUUCGGUAAGAAAUGACCAACAGGAGGAUUUCAGAAAGGCCUGGAGAGACUUACAUGAACUGAUGCUGAGUGAACCGAGCAGGACCAGGAGAUCAUUAUAUACUUCAACAACAAUACUAUAUGAUGACCAAUUCUGAUGGACCUGGCCAUCCUCAGCAAUGAGAUGAACCAAAUCAGUUCCAAUGGAGCAGUAAUGAACUGAACCAGCUACGCCCAGCGAAAGAACUCUGGGAGAUGACUAAGAACCAUUACAUUGAAUUCCCAGUCCCUGUAUUUUUGCACACCUACAUUUUUGAGUUCCUUCACAGGCUAAUUGUACAAUAUUUCAGAGUCCGAUUCUUUUUGUACAGCAAAAUAAUGGUUUGGUCAUGUAUACUUAUUGUGUAUCUAAUUUAUAUUUUAAUAUAUUUAACAUCUACUGGUCAUCCUGCCAUCUGGGGAAGGGGGUGGGAAGGAGGGGAAAAACUGGAACUAGAGCUUUGGCAAUUGUCAAUGCUGUAAAGUUACCCAUACAUAUAACCUGUAAAUAAAAGGCUAUUAAAAUAAAAAAAAAAAAAUUGUGCAUACCCUUUGAUCCAGCAGUGUUACUACUGGGCUUAUACCCCAAAGAGAUACUAAAGAAGGGAAAGGGACCUGUAUGUACCAAAAUGUUUGUGGCAGCCCUAUUUGUAGUGGCUAUAAACGGAAAAAUGAACGGAUGCCCAUCAGCUGGAGAAUGGUUGGAUAAAUUGUGGUAUAUGAAUGUUAUGGAAUAUUAUUGUUCUAUAAGAAAUGACCAGCAGGAUGAAUACAGAGAGGCUUGGAGAGACUUACAUGAACUGAUGCUAAGUGAAAUGAGCAGAACCAGAAGAUCAUUAUACUCUUUAACAACAAUACUGUACAGAGCUGGUUCAAUAUUAGGAAAACUACCAAUAUAAUUGGCCAUAUUAAUAAUCAAAUUAACAAAAACCAUAUGAUCAUCUCAAUAGAUGCAGAAAAAGCAUUUGAUAAAAUCCAACAUCCAUUCCUAUUAAAAACUCUUGAGAGGAUAGGAAUAAAUGGACUUUUCCUUAAAAUAAUCAGUAGCAUCUAUUUAAAACCAGCAGUAAGCAUCAUAUGUAACAGGGACAAACUGUAACCAUUCCCAAUAAGAUCAGGAGUAAAACAAGGUUGCCCACUCUCACCGUUACUAUUUAAUAUUGUACUAGAAAUGCUAGCUUUGGCAAUAAGAGUUGAGAAAGAGAUUAAAGGAAUAAGAAUAGGCAAUGAGGAAACCAAAUUAUCACUCUUUGCUGAUGAUAUGAUGGUAUACUUAGAGAAGCCCAGAGAUUCUACCAAAAAGUUAUUAGAAACAAUCUACACCUUCAGCAAAGUUGCAGGAUAUAAAAUAAACCCACAUAAGUCAUCAGCAUUCUUAUAUAUCACUAACAAAACCCAACAGUUAGAGUUACAAAAAGAAAUUCCAUUUAAAGUAACUACUGAUUGUAUAAAAUAUUUAGGAAUCUAUCUGCCAAGGGAAAAUCAGAAACUUUAUGAGCAAAACUACAAAACACUUUCCACACAAAUUAAGUCUGAUCUAACAACGAUACUGUAUGAGGAUGUAUUCUGAAAGAAGUGGAUUUCUUUGACAAAGAGAUCUAAUUCAGUAGAAUCAAUGAUAGAAGAAGCAGCUACACCCAAAGAAAGAACACUGGGAAAUGAAUGUAAACUGUUUGCAUUUUUGUUUUUCUUCCUGGGUUAUUUUUACCUUCUGAAUCCACCUCUUCCCGUGCAACAAAAGAACUGUUAGAUUCUGCACACAUAUAUUGUAUCUAGGAUAUACUGUGACAUAUUUAACAUGUAUAGGACAGCUUGCCAUCUGCCAGAGGGGGUGGAAGGAGGGAGGGGAAAAGUCAGAACAGAAGUGAGUGCAAGGGAUAAUGUUGUAAAAAAUUACCCAGGCAUGGGUUCUGUCAAUAAAAAGUUAU